UACAGAGGGUGCAAGCGUUGCUCGGAAUCAUUGGGCGUAAAGGGCAAGUAGGUGGUCUCAUUUGUCUAGGGUGAAAUCCUUGAGCUUAACUCAAGAAGUGCCCUAGAAACGGUGAGACUCGAGUACUGGAGAGGGUAGUGGAAUUCCCGGUGUAGUGGUGAAAUGCGUAGAUAUCGGGAGGAACACCAGUGGCGAAGGCGACUACCUGGCCUGUUCUUGACGCUGAGGCGCGAAAGCUAGGGGAGCAAACGGG
rnacentral:rRNA from 1 species